CGGAGAGAGAGAGAGACGCACAGAUGUGCACGGAGGCCACAGACACUGACAUUUGGAAUUCCUUCAGGCGGACGGAAUAGACCUCAGCAGCGGCGUGGUGAGGACUUAGCUGGGACCUGGAAUCGUAUCCUCCUGUGUUUUUUCAGACUCCUUGGAAAUUAAGGAAUGCAAUUCUGCCACCAUGAUGGAAGAGAUGUGGCCCAGCCUGGAGUGCAGUGGUGUGAUCCUAGCUCACUGCCACCUUGACUUCCUGGGCUCAAGUGAUUCUUCUGCCUCAGCCUCCAAGUAGCUUGCCAAAACUUGGAAGCAACCAUGAUGUCCUUAGUAGGACUGAAAAAACGUACAAGGAAGGCCUUUGGAAUACGGAAGAAAGAAAAGGACACUGAUUCUACGUAUGUACUUUAGGAGUUUGCCUCCUCGAAGAAGCUACUUGCAUAAGAGAUGCUCUUGUCACAGUCAAUAUAAGAUGGCCACAGUUUUCUCGGAUAUUGUGUACUAUUUGCUUUCCUCAUUUCUGAGUAAAUU
rnacentral:sRNA from 1 species